GUUCCAGUUUCAGUGACAUAAAGAGUGUGAAGUGAAUAACCUGCCAUGAGCAUGUACCAGAUCUGCUUGAUGAAAGUCAAAUGCCUUGCUGAAUUCGUCACCCAAAUGAUAAAGAACUAUUUGUGACGUCCCAUAAGAUCGCGAGUCGGCCACCAGUUUCAAUCUACAAAGCAGUUUCUUCGUGGAAUCGUGAGGUCCUGGCCUGGCACGGAGAUUCUUGAGUCAAUGCUGGAUUUGUCCAUGACAGAAGAGGGACUUCUACCAACGUUCGGAUCCUUAUCUACACGACGUACGCUGCUUCUUGUGCUUCACUGGCGAACAAGAUCACUUCAGUGUUCGCUUCCGUCCCCUGUGAAAUACCUGCAGUCACUCGCCACGGGAUUAUGCCCAGGUAAUGCAGAAGAGACGUCGAGAAGAUGGAUUUUCUCAUCUUUAACAAUCGUCACCGGUCUCCGUCGGAUGUUGCCCCUGCUUCUGGUGCGAACGAAACUCGGUGGAGUGAAUGGAUAAUACGCCAACAAAAUACUUCUGGCAAUGGAAAUGGACACCGACACUCGUCAUCAACGUGGAUCUUUGUAUUGUUGGUAUUAUUGCGUUUGUGUUAGUUAACCCGUUGUCUGCCACGC